rnacentral:rRNA from 1 species
UGAGGAAUAUUGGUCAAUGGGCGAGAGCUUGAACCAGCCAAGUAGCGUGCAGGAUGACGGCCCUAUGGGUUGUAAACUGCUUUUAUGCGGGGAUAAAGUGGGGGAUGCAUCCCUUUUUGCAGGUACCGCAUGAAUAAGGACCGGCUAAUUCCGUGCCAGCAGCCGCGGUAAUACGGAAGGUCCGGGCGUUAUCCGGAUUUAUUGGGUUUAAAGGAGCGUAGGCUGGAGAUUAAGCGUGUUGUGAAAUGUCGUUGCUCAACAACGUCACUGCAGCGCGAACUGCCGGGCUUGAGUGUGCGGAAAGCGGGCGGAAUUUGUGAUGUAGCGGUGAAAUGCUUAGAUAUCACGAAGAACUCCGAUUGCGAAGGCAGCUCGCCGUAGCAUUACUGACGCUGAAGCUCGAAGGUG